rnacentral:lncRNA from 1 species
UAUAUAUAUAUAUAUAUAUAUAUAUAUAUAUAUAUAUAUAUAUAUAUAUAUAUAUAUAUAUGCUUAAGUGAUAAGAACUUUGAUCACAAGCUGAGAUCCUAAACAGUGAUCGAUGCUUUUAAGUUUCAACUGAUGUAACUACAUACUAUUUUGGGCUAAUAACUGGCUCGAUCAAUCAAGCACAUAUAUAAGCAAAUCUAGCUUUCUGUUGUAAAACAAAAGGAAUAGAUUGAGAAAAGAGAGAAACAACCAAGAGAAUGAGAGAAUAUGUGUAUAUUAUUGAGUAAGGAAUCAUCUCUUAUAUAGAGAUGAGGCCAUGAUGUAAAUUACAAUAACAACCCUAGUCAGCUAAUUACAAGAAUGCCCACUAAGUAAUAACUAUUUACAACACUCCCCCUUGGGUAUUCUCUGUCAUUAGCUUCCCCUAAUAUGUGCUUCGGUGUUGUCUCGUCAAAACCUUGCCAGGUAAUAAAAACCCUAUGGGACAAAAACAAUCCUGGUCGAAGGAGAAAAGAGUACAACGCACAAGUAGCAGUGAUAGUAACCCUUAAUUUCGGUGAAGCGGUUCAGUCUAGAUCAUAAGAUGUGAGUUUGUGAGAGAUAGAUGCAUAAUGGUUGCUACAUCAAAACCUUGCCCGGUAAACCCAGUGGGACAAACCCGUGGUCAAAGGGAAAAGAUGAGAAAAUGCAUAUAUUUCAAAUAAAGGCAUCUUCAAGAUGCAGCAUGAGCAAGGUGACCAAUUACAUGUGUGCCUCUUUAAAACCUCGCCAGGUAACAAAACCCAGUGGGACAAAAUAACCCUGGACGAAGAACAAAAAGAGUACACAAUGGUCAAGAGUAUACUUCAGGAUACUCCCCCUAAUAUUGACUCCCCCUAAAAACUACACACUAGGUAAAACUACUACAUUGAUCAUGCUUCUUGAAUAACUUAAUAGUCAGCAUGAUUUAAAGAGGUUUUUGUUUCAUAUACCUCUAAGAUUAUUGUAUUCUAUAUAGUAAAGACAUAACCAGUUGGGAAUAAGCCUUGUGUCGGUUUAUAUAAUCUGUGUCAGCAUAUUUAACAAAGCAAACAUCAUUCUAAAGAUCAUAGGCGGUUGAUCCAUUCCAUGAUGCCUAGGGAUAGAACGAGCCCUUUUCUGUCAUUCAUUUAAAGUAACAGAAAAUUGUCUUUUAUGCCAUUUACGGAGGCGGCGUGUUGGCGCAGAGCUAUAUCUAGCUAACAAAUUCACAUUAGAUAAGAUGUCCGAUCAAGGGCAUUUAACCAAGUACAAUAAUACACCUAUUGUACUUAGAUAUGAGUCUUCUGGCCUCAAUAUCUCUUUAUUAUUUGCACGAUAAUACAGGUGUCUUUAGACCUUGGACGACUAUAGGUGUGCUUAAAUACUUUGUUUUAUCCUCAUCAAAG